rnacentral:misc_RNA from 1 species
ACCAGUCACGUACAGUACAAGAUCAGCCAUGUACAGUACAGGACCAGUCACGUACAGUACAGAACUAGCCAUGUACAGUACAGGACCAUCCAUGUACAGUACAGGACCAGCCACGUACAGUACAGGACCAGCCACGUACAGUACAGCAUCAGCCACGUACAAGAUAAACCAUGUACAAGGUGGAGGAGAUACGAGAGAUGAUAGAGAAGAUUCAAAACAAUGUAGAAGAGGUGAAAAAGAAGCACAGCGAGAUCCUCUCGGCGCCACAGACCGACGAAAAGGUGAAGCAGGAGCUAGAUGACAUGAUGACAGACAUCAAAAAGACGGCCAACAGAGUCAGAGCUAAACUUAAAGUAAUUGAGCAAAAUAUUGAGUCCGAAGAACAUGUGAGUAAGGCGAGUGCGGACUUAAGGAUAAAGAAGACUCAACACUCUACACUGAGUCGCAAGUUUGUGGAGGUGAUGACCGAGUACAACCGCACUCAAACCGACUACCGUGAACGUUGCAAGGGCAGGAUACAGAGGCAGCUUGAAAUUACCGGGCGCAAUACUACUAGUGACGAGUUGGAAGAUAUGUUAGAGCAGGGCAACCCAGCUGUCUUCACACAAGGGAUCAUCAUGGAGACCCAGCAAGCAAAACAGACUUUGGCAGACAUCGAGGCUCGACAUGCAGACAUCGUCAAGUUGGAGACUUCCAUCAGAGAGUUGCAUGAUAUGUUCAUGGAUAUGGCCAUGUUGGUGGAGAGUCAGGGGGAGAUGAUUGAUAGGAUUGAAUAUCACGUAGAUCAGUCCGUCGAAUAUGUCGGCAAAGCUAUGGAGGACACUAAAAAGGCACUUAAGUAUCAAAGCAAAGCACGUAAGAAGAAGAUAAUGAUCAUGGUGUGUGUGUCGGUUCUGUUAGUUGUCCUGAGUAUCUCCGGCGCCAAAUACUUGAAACUAAUCUAACCUUCUACUGCUUCGUUGUAACUAAAUUAAUAACUCUACUACCUUCUACUGGUAAUGAGCCUCCAGUACAUGCUAGAUCUUCAAUGAAAGGCGCGUCUCUCUCCCUCUCCUUCCUGAUGUUCCAGUUUUGUUACCUGUACAUAGUGUAGCCAGCCUCGAUGGUUAGACCUGUCAUCUCUCAGCACCAGACACCGUAGCAUUACAUAAACACGCUGUGGAUUCAUAAUUUUAUUUUAUAUAUGGAGUAAUACUUUACAGUUCAGUCAUUGGAGAUAAAGUACUGUAAAGCAAUUAAAAGAAAAGAUCUCCUUGUAAUAAGUAUGUUUUACUUUGGCACAUGCUAAUCAAAGGUUUCUGUGGGGACUGUGAUUGGAUUAAGUCAAGUUUUUAAUUUUAAGGUUCAAGUCUGACUUCUAUGCACUAUGCAAAUACAGUAUAUACAGUACUGUACUAUUAUGAUGUGUGCAUGGUUUUGAUGAAUGAUUAUAUAGAAUUGUAAAUCUGUUACAGUUUUGUUAACACAAGUUUAGUAGUUGUCAAUAACUAGCUGAAAAUAUUUGCUUAUUUAUUGUCAUUGAAAGUACUUGAUUACCAUUAAAAGCUAAUCUAUGACAGUCAUCUGUAAACAGAUGUCUCAACAAUGGACAUACAUUUGUUUAGAAUGACACAAACAUGGAUGAAAUGUGAAGUCUGUACGGAAGUCUGAUGCUGGGAGAGCCCCAGAUGUCUCCAACAUAUACGGUCACCAAGGCAACUAAAUAUAUAUUUCACUGAUACUGUAUGUCCCAAAUUCAUUUUGAUUCAGCUCAUUAGGUGAAAACCAUAGGCAUAAUUGAAAAUAUGAGAAACUUUUUCACCAAGAUUGUAGAUAUUCCCCAAAUCUUGAAUGUGUUAUAUAAUUGGAAAAUGUCAGUAAAAUAUGUAUGGAAAAUAUCACAUAAUCAGAAUUUAUAGCAAAAAAACAAAAAACAUUUAUAUAAUUUGAAAAAUAAUGAAACUCCAUUAAGUUACAUAUGACUGACACUAGGUGUGGCUAUUGACUUUAUUAUGGCCAGAUAUGUAUUACCAAUAUACUUCACAAUUUGUAAAUUGGGAGUAAUAGCCUUUUUAAAGUGUACAUGGGUGCUUAACAGUACAGUACUUGGUAAUAAAAGUUGGGACUUGCAGUAUUCCCUUGUGGAGAAACGUGUUGCUGGCCGCAUAUGUGAGUGGCAUUCAGAGUAAGAAGUACAGAAGGUACAGUAUAGGUAACAUUUCCAGCUUUAACAUUCUAGGAUCUAUAGUUAAUGUUAAAAUUGAGAUUGAUGCACCAUCAUCCUCACUUUACUAUUGUUUUUACACUGUAGAUUGCAAUUGUAUAAAAUGUAUUUAUUGUUUGUAUAUGAUAUGAUAUUUUUUUUUCUGAGCGGACCAUGCUAGUUACUUGUAUGUUGAAAAUGUUAAAAGAUAGUGACAGCCCGUCUGCUUUUCACGAAACCGAAGCUUCAUAUAUUUCAACGACUUAAUGUCUGUGGUAGUGUAUUGUACUGCUGGGAGGCCAUGAUAUAAUAAUUAUUGGUGAUACCUGUACUCUAUUAGAUUAGAUCAUUCAUCAGUGCUAGUCAUACUCUCAAGUGUUGGUAAUUGUGGAGGUAUCGGUAAAUCUAAAGGAAUUCCUUCUGUUGUAGAUGCAUGGAUUUUUCAUCAGAAUUUAGUAUUUGAAAUAGACAGGUCAUAAAUACAAGGUAAUAAAUAUUACAGUAGAGUUGGUACACUAAUUUAUCAAUACUGUACAUAAAGUCACUUGAGUUAUGAGUUCAAUAACUAAAAUUUCAUCCCCUUAAUAAAUGGAGUAUGAUAAAAAGGUCUCCCAGCUUACAAAUUUGUUUUGGGGAAUCAGAUUACAGUUUUAUCUUCUUGGUUAAAUUGUUGGCAGUUGACCAGUUGCUAGGGCUGGCUUGUCUGGGGAAGUAGAAAAAGGUUUGCAGUAAACUUAGAGGAAAAUGCAUUUUAUGGGUCAAAGGCUUAUACAGU